GUGCUCACUUCAGCCCCACAUGUACCCAAAGUGGAGUGAUACACAAAGUAGCAUGGCCCCUGUAUAAGGAGAACAUGUAAAUUCAUGAAGUAUUUUUUAAUAUG
rnacentral:snRNA from 1 species